UGCGUAGGCGGGCUAAUAAGUCAGUGGUGAAAUCUCUCGGCUCAACCGGGAAACUGCCAUUGAUACUGUUAGUCUUGAGUUCGGUUGAGGUAGGCGGAAUGUGUAAUGUAGCGGUGAAAUGCUUAGAUAUUACACAGAACACCAAUUGCGUAGGCAGCUUACUAGACCGACACUGACGCUGAGGCACGAAAGCGUGGGGAGCGAACAGGAUUAAAUACCCUGGUAGUCC
rnacentral:rRNA from 1 species